GUUCCGGUUUAAAAAUAAAUAUUUCGAAAUUCGCGCGCCAGUGAACAAAUCAACGCACAAUGAAACAAAUGAACAGCAAACAGUCGGACUAACAUUCUAGAUCAUAACAGAAACAUUUUAUGCAUUCGCUAUGUAGAUAAACGUGAGUCAAGCAGUCAGAUCAUCUCUUAUAAAGAAAAUAAGUCCCAUAUCACAUCGUAAAUAGCGAAAAUAGACUGGAGGAAGCAAUAAUAGUGAGAAACAGUAUAAAUAACGCGAGUUUCGAUCUGUAAUGGAAGAGAAAAGGAAGCCAUUGGUUUUGUUUUUCAAAUGGCAGGUUGUAAGAAAAUGUGUGGUAUUACAAAUUUACCAACAAAAGUGCACCUCGUUAGCAUAAUGUAAAGUAUGCGCAGAACUGUGUAAAAAACUAUUAUCGAAACCUGUAUUCUAUGCCUAAUAUUCGUCACAACAUAACCAUUUAAUGCGUAAUGUAUCGGACUGGAAAAAACAAAUGUCUCACUCGAUGAACGCACAGAAAGAGAAGCAAUUUGGGGAAAAUCAAACAGCGUCUUGCAUAAGGCGGCAUUUUUGUCAUCAUUCGCGGAAAGAAGUAGAGCAACACAAAAAGGUCACACGAUUUAGUUCUGCCAGCAGCUGAGAGGCACCAUUGUGUUCACUGCCCUGCUUCUUGCUCUUGUGGAAUAUGUAAUGCACACAAAGAAGAUUGCUGUUGUGCAUUACCUGGUUGUGUAACACUGAGGUUACUGGUAAUUCUGAAGCAAGAAUUAAGGUUGCUGCAGAAUUGACAUUAAUGUUGAAAUGAGAUAAAGGAAAUAAGUUGACUUUCUGUUUCUGAAAUUUUGUGGGUAAUACUGCUACAGUCAGUUGGGUGCCUGCCGUGAUGCAUGACGGGAACAAAAGAAGGUGUGUCAGCUGUUUGUAUUACGCAGCCAGUGGUAGAGCAGCAGAUGUGGAGCCGCUGAUAGAAUAGCUAUAAUGAGGGCAUGACUGCUGCCGCCCUCAACAACCCCAAAACUGUGACUAAAUGGAACGGAACAAACAGGCUUUAAGCAUCCUCUUCAAGCCUACAGUGAAGAAAAGUGUAUGUAUAACCCACAGGACGCGCUAUAUCGUAAUAAGCAUGCCAGGAAAGAGAAACUGGCAGUGAUAGGCUGCAAAGUUCGCGAAGUUUUGCCCAACGCAACAGAUGAGGACUGCAAAACUCGCUUCAUGUCACUGCAGUCGCACUUUUGUGGAGAGCUAAAAAAAAUUAGAGCCAGUGAGCAUAGUGGUGCAGGGGCAGAUCAUAAACUUUAUGAGCCUGCUGUGUGGUGGUUCAAUGCUUUGAAGUUUUUGAAGGACUACGUGACACCAAGGAAAACAGUGACAAAUGUCCCAAGCCGUAUGUGUUAUGAGCGGUUCACAAUGUGCUAUAGACUAACAUGGGCCAUUAAUAUUUUACAUACCACAGCCACUCUCAUCAAAUCCAUGUAGCACGACCAUUGUCAAUGACUCUUGUAAUACUGAGAUGACCGCAGUUGCUGAAGAGACCAUAGUAAAUGAGGGAUAUAUUGAAGAUGACAACAGCAAUGUGGCAGCAGUGGCAAGGAAGUAACUGCAACAUGGUGGAUGUGCGUUUGAGCUUUGAAGCGCGGAAGCAGAUAAUUAAGUGGUACUGGAAGUUUGAGAAUGUAGCUGCGGUUCGAAGACAGUGGAGAAACGCAGUUCCGACACUGAUUACUGGUUGCUAUACGUAUCUAUCCACACCAAGACUCUUGAGAGAGCAUCGUGAACUUCCAAGACAACUCUUAGAGGAUAUGCAGUUUAAAAGUGCCAUAAUUAUGAAAUAAGUGUGCAGAAUCUAACUGUAAAAUCCUCCCUAUGGAAAUUCACAAUAAUAUUAUCUAUACAGGCAUUCUUACUUGUGGCACGGUUAUUUGUACAAUAGAGGUCUAAUGAUCUUAGCAUAUUCAAAAAUGUCCUAGCAACUGGUCUCUGUGUGUUUACCAUUUCUAUGUUGAAAUCACCACAUAUAGCAAUUCUCGUUUUACUCUUCAAUAUUUUUUAAAUUAUUAAUUCACAUUUUUCAAUAAACAAAUUUACAUCACCAUCUGGCGACCUAUAUAGACUAACUACCACUAUAUUUUCAUUCAAUAGUUUUACACAACUAAACUCCCCAUCUAGUUCUGAGGAGUACAUAGAUACAUCAAUUCUGGAAAACUUUAUUCAUUCUUUGACAAAAAUUCCAGCACCACCAUUCUUUCUCUGUUUUCUACAUAUCAUGUCACCCACAACAUACCCUUGGGGAAUGAACAUAUUUACUUGUUCUUGUGUUAACCAGUGCUCAGAUACACAUAUAACAUCUACAUGCUCAGUGUUACAAAAAUGUUCUAAUUCUAAAAUUUUAUUUCUAAUGCAACGUAUGUUAACUUGUAGAAAAGUAAGUAGUUUGUCUCUGUCUGUAUUCCUCUGAGAGCAAUUUGACUUUACAUUUGAAGUUGUAGGUUCCGUUAAUGUCUUUAAUCUUGGUGCACUGUGAUCAUAUGUGUUAUGAUAGUCACAUACCUGUUCAUCCACUUGAUGACUCACUUUGUUAACUGCUUUCGUCUGUGAAACCCCUGCUGAUCCCACCAUGCUAUGUUUCAGCUCCCAGGCAAAUUAUUUUUAAAUUCUAAUUUCAUGUUAUGCUCUAUAGUUACAGCCAGACAAUGUCAGUCCAAGGACAGAAUGUAGAGAAUGCCAAACGAGAGUGCUCAGCCACAGUUGCAUAUGCAUUAGCACUGCGCAGGUUUUCUAUUCAGUAAGGAUAUCAUCACUGGAAUACAAAGGAGAGUAUCAGUUUCAGAACUGUACUUGUAUAAACAUGUUAUUUAAGCAUCCAGUAUCCAUACAUUUGUAUUGUAUUACAAGUUAUCUGUAAUCCUGAAGCAAGAAUUGAAGAUGCUGCAUAAUUUGAUGUUAGUGUUGAGAUGAGAUAAAGGAAAGUAGACCACUUUCAGUUUCUGAAGUUUUGCUGGUAAUACUGCUACAGUCAGUUGGAGUAAAUCUGUGCCACUUUUUAACAUUUUUGAAAGCACUGGAUUCAAAAUAAAUUACACAUUGCAACAGACAUUUUAAUAUUUUGCAUCUAUAGUUACUGAGUGCUUAGGAAAGUGUAGAUGUAUCUCAACUAUGCCCUAUUAAAAUAAAAUUUCUGUUUUAAUGCGGGUAUAAAGUUACACUGUCAUUCCAGAUAACUUUAGACCAGUUUUAAAAAACAAUGUUUCCAUAAUAUAUUGCUUUGGGUAAAUUUAGAUCACACAAGGAGGAAAUCAGGUGUUAAAAAGAAUAAAAACAAUAGUGUGAAUUCAGUACUGAGGAUUUAUUUUGAAGUAUUAAGAUAUUUGUAUCAACCUGGCACUGUUACACUUAAAUCACACAGUCGUCAGAAACUCUAUUCGCAGCCACCGCAAUGAAAGAAUAAUCACAAGCCUAAGAGCUUGUAGGAAGUUGGAAAGACAACUGAAAUAGUAACUAGAAAUCACAGAGGUAAUAAAACUGUCACUUUUAGUAUCAAAUAAGCAAAUAGGUGGAACAGCCAUUUGUAACAGAAGUAAUAAGUGGUACAAAGAUACCCUGACUGGUAAAAUACCCUGAUUGAGUGUACUGGAAGAACCUCAACUUCAGUGUUUGACAUUAUAAAUUGUGACCGCAUUCUCCAAGUCUGUCGCUUGUUCUAUGUAAUGCUUUUAUGUUACUGCUAUUGUGUGCCAAAUUUACAACAUGUUUACCAAACUGUCUUGUUUCCUGUUGCUGUGUUGCUGUUGCCUUAGGUGUCUAAGUUUUUUUGAGUUGACUACUGGUUUCCUUCAAACCAUUUGAUGCAAUGUCGGCACAUGCAUAGAAACUUGUAUUCAAGCCACACCUAUAUACCUAAUCUAGACUUUUAAUUUUAAUAGUCUAUCUAUAAAUUUCUCCAGUCCCCAUGUCAUGUAAUAAAUUUAAACACCACUGAAAUGUUUUAAUUUUUGGAUAUUUUCACUUUUGAAACACUUCAUGCGUUCAUCAAAACGUACUAUAUGAUAUGGUAUCCCGAGUAUGAGUACUACCAAGAUUGGGUGACAAUGUUUGUGAGAAGGGAAUCAGCCAUUUGGCCUGUGUGAGAGGGAUAAUGCUAAAUUCCUUAUUACACAAGGUAAGGAUUGGAAAGUGACUUGGAAUAAUCUCAACUAGAAGUGUUUUGCAACAUCUAACUUUGUACAGGAAACAGUUUCAACUCUUGCUGUACUUGCCUCAAAGGAGUUGUACCCAUGACGAGGCCAAGUCUGAGUACAGUGAAUGGCUAGCACCAUUCGAACUGCUUAGAAAUGAGACUGUAAGUAUUAACAGUGCCUGCACGCACACGAUAUGACACACAAGAAAACUCCAACUAUUUGCCUAUGAUUUGAUUAAUUGUGCUGAUACUGCAAUUGGAGCAUUCUGCCUCCAAUUUUGCUUGCUUCCCCUUUGCCCCCAACUGUCCUUGAUGUGAUGUAACGCCGGAAAUGCAUAUCCUCCUGUUUCCAUCUAUUGUACUAUAGAUUUUUCCUUAUUUUGUUACCUGAAGAUAUAACAUUUCUGUGUCUUUGUAUAUUGUAAUUGUUUUACUAUUUGUAUAUAUAUGCAUUUAUGUCGAUGUAUAAUUGGUUUGUUUUGUUAAUAUUAUUUGUAUUUAUACGCUGGGUCUGGCCUAGGGAAAACUAUGCUAUCGAACGUGGAGAACGAUAGUGUUUAGGAUCUUUGGUAGUGUUAACUCUGUUGCGUGGAGCGCGGGCAGAGAGAGUCUGGCUGGAGUAGUGCAGUGGAGCAGGUGUGUUGUGUGACGCUCCCGCGAGUUGCCGCGCGUUCGGGGUUUGGCAGCAUGUAAUUGCGCUCGACUUGCCACGAUAGUUUCUGACACGGUGUCGCGGACGGGAAGCAUUAGCUGGCGCACACCAAGAGCCCGUUUCGUCUGGUGACCGUGUCGAGAAGAAGGCGCGCCAACAUCCAGCUUCUGCAACAGCAACGGCCGACAAUGAGUGACUGUCGCCACCUCCUCGACCGACGGCUUCAAACCUUCAAUCAACCAACAAGGAAGGCUGGAAGCACGUAAAGUUUUAGAACUGUAUGGCAGACCUCAGCUUUUCAAACUGUUCAAAUCACAAAAUUGUCCCAUUUGCAUUACCAAGCAGGGUCCCUUCCUUUUCCGGAAUGAACCCGAGUGUCGUUGAAAUUCAAACGCCAGCA